UACGUAGGGGGCUAGCGUUGUCCGGAAUCAUUGGGCGUAAAGAGCGCGUAGGCGGCCAGAUAAGUCCGGUGUAAAAGUCACAGGCUCAACCUGUGAAUGCCGCUGGAAACUGUCGAGCUAGAGUCCGGAAGAGGCGAGUGGAAUUCCUGGUGUAGCGGUGAAAUGCGCAGAUAUCAGGAGGAACACCAAUGGCGAAGGCAGCUCGCUGGGACGGUACUGACGCUGAGACGCGAAAGCGUGGGGAGCAAACAGG
rnacentral:rRNA from 1 species